GCUCAAAUUUGAAAUCUUAAAGGUUUUACCUUGACGAAUUGUAGUUUAAAGAAGUGUUUUCUGUUGGUGUUUUGGUAAAAGUUCUUUGGAAUAGGACAUCAUAGAGGGUGAGAAUCCCGUAUUUGACCAUUACUUCCAGCGUUGUGAUACACUUUCAAAGAGUCGAAUUGUUUGGGAAUGCAGUCCAAAAUGGGUGGUAAAUUUCAUCUAAAGCUAAAUAUUGGCGAGAGACCGAUAGCGAACAGGUACCGUGAGGGAAAGAUGAAAAGAACUUUGAAAAGAGAGUUAAACAGUACGUGAAAUUGUCAAAAGGGAAGCGUUUGACACCAGUGUUGUUUUCUCGAAAAUCAAUUAAAAAGUGUUGGAUUUUGUAUUGUUAAGACCUUAUCAGCUUACUGUACUCUUUUCCUGCACUUUUUAAUGCACUUUUCAUUUAACAAG
rnacentral:rRNA from 1 species